ACCCCCUUGUGAUGGGUAAAGAGACACCUUGUUGGUGGAGUUGUUCUUAUCAAUAAGGGGCACAGCAGAUGUCAGUUCUUUGUUUAUUGUAGCUUGAUGGCCAAAGCUGUUUUGUGCCUAGGACUCAUAA
rnacentral:snoRNA from 1 species